UACGUAGGGUGCAAGCGUUGUCCGGAAUUAUUGGGCGUAAAGAGCUUGUAGGCGGUUUGUCGCGUCUGCUGUGAAAAUCCGGGGCUCAACCCCGGACUUGCAGUGGGUACGGGCAGACUAGAGUGUGGUAGGGGAGACUGGAAUUCCUGGUGUAGCGGUGAAAUGCGCAGAUAUCAGGAGGAACACCGAUGGCGAAGGCAGGUCUCUGGGCCACUACUGACGCUGAGAAGCGAAAGCAUGGGGAGCGAAUGGG
rnacentral:rRNA from 1 species